rnacentral:hammerhead_ribozyme from 1 species
AUUCAGCUGACGUGUACCAAGUAGGACAAAACGCGCGUCCUGGAU